UACGGAGGAUCCAAGCGUUAUCCGGAUUUAUUGGGUUUAAAGGGUGCGUAGGCGGCCUAUUAAGUCAGGGGUGAAAGCCGGUAGCUUAACUAUCGCAGUGCCCUUGAUACUGAUGGGCUUGAAUAUACUAGAGGUAGGCGGAAUGUGACAAGUAGCGGUGAAAUGCAUAGAUAUGUCACAGAACACCAAUUGCGAAGGCAGCUUACUAUGGUAUUAUUGACGCUGAGGCACGAAAGCGUGGGGAUCAAACAGG
rnacentral:rRNA from 1 species